rnacentral:rRNA from 1 species
GAUAGCUUGCUAUCAAUGCUGACGAGCGGCGGACGGGUGAGUAAUGCCUGGGAAUAUGCCCUGAUGUGGGGGAUAACUAUUGGAAACGAUAGCUAAUACCGCAUAAUCUCUUCGGAGCAAAGAGGGGGACCUUCGGGCCUCUCGCGUCAGGAUUAGCCCAGGUGGGAUUAGCUUGUUGGUGGGGUAAUGGCUCACCAAGGCAACGAUCCCUAGCUGGUCUGAGAGGAUGAUCAGCCACACUGGAACUGAGACACGGUCCAGACUCCUACGGGAGGCAGCAGUGGGGAAUAUUGCACAAUGGGGGAAACCCUGAUGCAGCCAUGCCGCGUGUAUGAAGAAGGCCUUCGGGUUGUAAAGUACUUUCAGUUGUGAGGAAGGCGUUGAUGUUAAUAGCUUCAGCGUUUGACGUUAGCAACAGAAGAAGCACCGGCUAACUCCGUGCCAGCAGCCGCGGUAAUACGGAGGGUGCGAGCGUUAAUCGGAAUUACUGGGCGUAAAGCGCAUGCAGGUGGUCUGUUAAGCAAGAUGUGAAAGCCCGGGGCUCAACCUCGGAACAGCAUUUUGAACUGGCAGACUAGAGUACUGUAGAGGGGGGUAGAAU